UACGUAGGGAGCGAGCGUUGUCCGGAAUUACUGGGCGUAAAGCGUCCGUAGGCGGCGAGGUAAGUCGCACGUGAAAGCCCCGGGCUCAACUCGGGUGAGUGCGUGCGAUACUGCCCCGCUUGAGUGCCGGAGGGGAGAGUGGAACGGUGCAAGUAGCGGUGAAAUGCGUAGAUAUGCAUCGGAACACCGGUGGCGAAGGAGGCUCUCGGGACGGUCACUGACGCUGAGGGACGAAAGCCAGGGGAGCAAACAGG
rnacentral:rRNA from 1 species